rnacentral:rRNA from 1 species
UACACAUGCAAGUCGAACGAAUAUAUUGUCCUCGGAUAGUAUGUUAGUGGCAAACGGGCGAGUAACGCGUAUCUAACCUGCCCUUGUGUGAGGCAAAACUAUGGAGACAUAGCUAAUUCCUCAUACGCUCUAAGAAAUGAAAGUACUUAGAGGAAAGAUUUAUCGCACAAGGAGGGGGAUGCGUCCUAUCAGGUAGUUGGUGAGGUAACUGCUCACCAAGCCUAUGACGGGUAGCCGGUCUGAGAGGAUGUCCGGCCGCAAUGGAACUGAGACACGGUCCAUACUCCUACGGGAGGCAGCAGUGGGGAAUAUUGGACAAUGGGCGAAAGCCUGAUCCAGCGAUUCUGCGUGAAGGAUGAAGCCUCGUGGGGUGUAAACUUCUUUUCUGGGAGAAGACGAAUGACGGUAUCUCAGGAAUAAGAGACGGCUAACUACGUGCCAGCAGCCGCGGUAAUACGUAGGUCUCGAGCGUUAUCCGGAAUUACUGGGCGUAAAGCGUCUGUAGCCGGAUGUAUAAGUCUGUCUUUAAAUACUCUGAUUCAAUUGGAGAAAAGGGAUAGAUACUGUAUAUCUAGAGGAUUUUAGGGGUUAGUGGAAUUUCCGGUGGAGCGGUGAAAUGCGUUGAUAUCGGAAGGAAUGCCGAGAGCGAAAGCAGCUAACUAUAAAAUAUCUGACGGUCAGAGACGACAGCUUGGGGAGCGAACGGGAUUAGAUACCCCGGUAGUCCAAGCCGUAAAUGAUGCUUGCUAGAUGUUUGUCUCGCUAUGCGGGAUGAGUGUCGUACCUAACGGGUUAAGCAAGCCGCCUGGGAAGUAUACUCGCAAGAGUGAAACUCAAAGGGAUAGGCGGGGGAACACACAAGCAGUGGAUUAUCUAGAUUAAUUGGAUAAUAAGCCAAGAAUCAUACCUAGACUUGACAUA